AGUGAACGCUGGCGGUAGGCCUAACACAUGCAAGUCGAACGGCAGCACAGAGGAGCUUGCUCCUUGGGUGGCGAGUGGCGGACGGGUGAGGAAUACAUCGGAAUCUACUUUUUCGUGGGGGAUAACGUAGGGAAACUUACGCUAAUACCGCAUACGACCUACGGGUGAAAGCAGGGGACCUUCGGGCCUUGCGCGAUUGAAUGAGCCGAUGUCGGAUUAGCUAGUUGGCGGGGUAAAGGCCCACCAAGGCGACGAUCCGUAGCUGGUCUGAGAGGAUGAUCAGCCACACUGGAACUGAGACACGGUCCAGACUCCUACGGGAGGCAGCAGUGGGGAAUAUUGGACAAUGGGCGCAAGCCUGAUCCAGCCAUACCGCGUGGGUGAAGAAGGCCUUCGGGUUGUAAAGCCCUUUUGUUGGGAAAGAAAUCCAGCCGGCUAAUACCUGGCUGGGAUGACGGUACCCAAAGAAUAAGCACCGGCUAACUUCGUGCCAGCCGCCGCGGUAA
rnacentral:rRNA from 1 species